rnacentral:rRNA from 1 species
GAUGAACGCUGGCGGCGUGCCUAAUACAUGCAAGUCGAGCGAACGGGCGCGAAGCUUGCUUUUCUGAUGUUAGCGGCGGACGGGAGAGUAACACGUGGAUAACCUACCUAUAAGACUGGGAAAAUUUCGGGAAACCGGCGCUUAUACCGGAUAAUAUUUUGAACCGUAUGGUUCAAAAGUGAAAGACGGCCGUGCUGUCUCUUAUAGAGGGUUCUCCGCUGCAUUAGAUGGUUGGUAAGUUAACGGCUUACUAAGGGAACUAGGCAUAGCCGACGUGAGGGGGUGAUAGCCCACAUGGGAACGGGGACGCGGACAAGGCUCCUACGGGAGGCAGCAGUAGGGAAUCUUCCGCAAUGGGCGAGAGCCUGACGGAGCAGCGCCGCGUGAGUGAUGAAGAUCUUCGGAUCGUAAAACUCUGUUAUUAGGGAAGAACAGAUGUGUAAGUAACUGUGCACAUCUUGACGGUACCUAAUCAGAAAGCAACGGCUAACUACGUG